UUUUGUAGUUAAAAUUACAUAACAUGAGCUUUUCAUGCUCAAAUUCUUGGCUGCAAGCAAAAAUUAA
rnacentral:tRNA from 1 species